rnacentral:misc_RNA from 1 species
GAUGAAGAACGCAGCAAAAUGCGAUAAGUAGUGUGAAUUGCAGAAUUCAGUGAAUCAUCGAAUCUUUGAACGCACAUUGCGCCCGCCAGUAUUCUGGCGGGCAUGCCUGUUCGAGCGUCAUUUCAACCCUCAGGCCCCCAGUGCCUGGCGUUGGGGAUCGGCGCGGCGCCCUCCGGGGCGCUGCCGGCCCCGAAAUUCAGUGGCGGUCUCGCUGUAGCCCUCCUCCGCGUAGUAGCACAACCUCGCGGCCUGGAGCUCGGCGGUGGCCAUGCCGUAAAACACCCCACUUCUGAAAGUUGACCUCGGAUCAGGUAGGAAUACCCGCUGAACUUAAGCAUAUCAAUAAGCGGAGGA